CGAGCGAAGCGGGAAGAGCUCAAAUUUAUAAUCUGGCACCUUCGGUGUCCGAGUUGUAAUCUCUAGAAGUGUUUUCCGCGUUGGACCGCACACAAGUCUGUUGGAAUACAGCGGCAUAGUGGUGAAACCCCCGUAUAUGGUGCGGACGCCCAGCGCUUUGUGAUACACUUUCAAUGAGUCGAGUUGUUUGGGAAUGCAGCUCAAAUUGGGUGGUAAAUUCCAUCUAAAGCUAAAUAUUGGCGAGAGACCGAUAGCGAACAAGUACCGUGAGGGAAAGAUGAAAAGCACUUUGGAAAGAGAGUUAACAGUACGUGAAAUUGUUGGAAGGGAAACGCUUGAAGUCAGACUUGCUUGCCGGAGCUUGCUUCGGUUUGCAGGCCAGCAUCAGUUUUCCGGGGUGGAUAAUGACGGUUUGAAGGUAGCAGUCUCGGCUGUGUUAUAGCUUUCCGUUGGAUACAUCCUGGGGGACUGAGGAACGCAGCGUGCUUUUUGCGAAAGACUCGUCUUUUUCACGCUUAGG
rnacentral:rRNA from 1 species